rnacentral:miRNA from 1 species
CGUGGGAGGGUUCUGACUAGGG